rnacentral:tRNA from 1 species
GCCCCCGUAGCUCAGUUAGGAUAGAGCAUCUGCCUUCUAAGCAGAGGGUCGCCUGUUCGAGUCAGGCCGGGGGUA